CGCGUCUUAAACAAUGCAAGUCGAACGAGUCUGUAGCAAUACAGGGAGUGGCGGACGGGUGAGGAACACGUAGGAAUCUACCUUGAAGAGCGGGACAACUUUGGGAAACCGGGGCUAAUACCGCAUAGUACAGAGAUGUUAAAGGGCUAGCAAUAGUCGCUUCGAGAUGAGCCUGCGGUCUAUCAGCUUGUUGGUGAGGUAAUGGCUCACCAAGGCUACGACGGAUAGCCGGUCUGAGAGGAUGAUCGGCCACACUGGCACUGAGACACGGGCCAGACUCCUACGGGAGGCAGCAGUUAAGAAUCUUGCGCAAGUGGGGAAACCCUGACGCAGCGACGCCGCGUGAAGGAUGAAGGCUUUCGGGUUGUAAACUUCGGUAAACUGGGAAGAAGAAAUACGUUCGUUGAGGGCGUAUAGUGACGGUACCAGUCUGAAGCCCCGGCUAAUUACGUG
rnacentral:rRNA from 1 species